rnacentral:lncRNA from 1 species
CCGUGCAGGCCGCUCACCUGCAGCUUGUGGACCUUGUCAUUGAGCUCAGCCCGGGCCCGCUCCCCAUCGCUGCACUUGGACUGCAGUUCCUGGAGCUGCACCUCCAGCUUCUUCUUCUUGUGCUCCACCUCCUGCUUCGCCUGGUUCAGGACCCGCAGCUCCCCGGCCAGGUCUGCGUUCUCCUUCUCCAGCGUCUGCUUGUUCUUGUCUAGGUUGGCCUUGGCCUGGCCAGGGAAGCACAGGGCAGGGAAGGCAUUACAGCUGUGGCCAGGAAAGCAGGUUAAGAACCUAACUCUGUCACUGGUGGAUCUUCCUCCUUCCCUUCCCCUCCGGUCAGGGAGGUGCAGGGACCCGUGCUUGUCCCCUCUGGGGAGAAACACAGCAGCGUGGGGGACACACGGUCACGGUGAGACAUUUUGCAUUCUGUUCUGCUAAAGCUCAAAGGUUGCAAACCAGCAUUCCACAAGCUACAUCCAACCUGUCGUCAUGUCCCCAUAGACCUAUUCUUUGUUGCCAACAUUUAAUAAAGAAAAAAGAAAACUGCAUUCCAGCGUCAUUUUUAAAAAAUGUAGUGUUGUGGGGCGCCUGGGUGGGUCAGUCGGUUAAGCUUCCGACUCUUGGUUUCUUUUGGCUAAGAUGCCGAUCUCGUGGUUAGGGAGUUCGAGCCCCACAUCCGGCUCCGCGCUGACAGCUCAGAGCCUGCUGGGGAUUCUCACUCUCUGUCUCUCUCGAAAUAAAUUUAAAAAUGUUUAAAAAUAAAAAAUCUAGUGUUCUCCAUCAUGACAGGUGGUGGUUACACAAAUGCAUACGUUUGUCGAAAUUAGUUGAACUAUACAGUUAAAACUGAUGAGUCUUACUGCACAGACCUCAAUAGUUCUGAUUUUCAAAAAACAAGCUAGGGGCGUCUGGAUGGCUCAGUCACUUAAGUGUCCAAUUCUAGAUUUCGGCUCGGGUCACGAUCUCACAUUUCAGGGGACUGAGCCCCGCCUUGGGCUCUGGGCUAAUAGCACGGAGCCUGCUAGGGAUGCUCUCUCUGCCCCUUCCUAUCUCUAUCUCUCCAUCUCUAAACAAACAAAAAAACCCAAGCUAAACACAAACAUCCUCAGUGGGGAAGAAGUGAGAGCUUUUCCCCUAAGAUCAGGAACAAGAAGGGUCUCACUCUCACCACAUUUACUCAGCAUAGCACCGUAAGAGAAAAUGUAUGUUGUGUAGUGACAAUUAGCAAAUCUUAUUUGUCCAAAGAAGUGACACAGUGUUCAACGUUAGUAUUCAGCUCCCACUUAACGAGUCCUUUUACUCACCUGGAAGGUGCAGGGGGGCUCAGUCUUGCCCUGCACUUUUCAGACACUGGGCCUAAGACCCCCCUGUAGGAGGGUGGAAGACGGGGCCCGGACAUCUGCAUUUUAACAAAGGCCCCAGAUGAAAUGAAAUGAACUCGUGUCUGGAAAGCAUUGGAACAGUAUCAGGCACAUGGUCAGUGCUACCUAAGGGACUGUUGCCACUGUUCUCUUGUACAGGAAAAUUGGAGAUUCUUCUAGAAGAGGCGGAAAGGUGUUCAGUAAACCCCCUCAGGGAAGAAGAGUGACCUUGGCUGGUGAGAGAAACAAACCCAAACUGCCCACAAUUUUUAGGUAAUGCUGUGCCCAUUUACUCUAGCUUGGGGCGGGGGGGGCGGAUAUCUAGAAAGGGCAGGGAUCGGGGGAGCCAUAGUGCUAAGGGGGAUGCAAUCCGGAUGUCGCAAGCUAAACAGCUCACCCCUGGGAAGGAAACACAAGGAAAUUCUCCCAAGGGAGAAGAAGUUUUGGGUGUGAAGCAUUCAGACUCGGGCUACUUAACUGCCUCGAAUCCCACACACCCCAGAUAGCCAAGCACGAGGGGAAGAACGACUAGAUCCAGUCAUUCUCAAACUCUGCCGGAGAGCUAACUGUUUUCCUCCAACCUGCAGGGAAAUUAAGACGGAAAGAAUGUUCUCCAUCUUAAGCGACCCAGAAGUUGUUCUCAACUGUGGCUAAGCAACGGGGGCGGAGGGCAGGGUGUUGUAGACCCUGCCCUGGAGUGGGCAAGAGGUAGGCAGGCAGCUGCACUGCCUGGGUUCAAAUCAUGGCUUUGUCACUAGCUGUGUGACCUUGGGUGAGUCUCCUCACCUCUAAACACUUUUUUUGGUUGUUGUUUAAUGUUUAUUUUUGAGAGAGAAAGAGACAGAGCAUGAGUGGAGGAGGGGCAGAGAGAGAGGGAGACACAGAAUCCGAAGCAGGCUCCGGGCUCCGAGCUGUCAGCACAGAGCCUGAUGUGGGGCUUGAACCCACGAACCAUGAAAUCACGACCUGAGCUAAAGUUGGAUGCUCAACCGACUGAGCCACCCAGGUGCCCCCGCCUCUAGACACUCUUGACCUCAGUUCCUUCGUGUGUAAAAUGGGCUCGAGUACCUACGUCAUAGGUGGAUGUGAGGAUUAACGGAUACGUGCAUGGCGCGCCCUGAAUAAAUGCUGGCUGCCACCACUGUCAUGAGGCUCUUGUGUGGUGUAGGAUUCGUCUCAGCACACACCCUGAUACGUGGUUAUGUGAAGCUGUCGGCAUGAUGCUGUCUCACACGCGCGCACACACACACACAAAUCACCACUUACCCUCUUGAACUGCUCCAACUGCUCGGUGAGUUCCUCCACCGCCUGCGUGUGCUUCUGUCUCAUCUCCUGGACCUGCGCCUCGUGGGACCGGGUCUCCUCAUCCAGGGCCUUCUUCAGCACCGUCACCUCUUGUUCCCUCUUGGCCCUGGGCAGGAAGAACACGGUGGAUGGCAGUCGGCCGGAAACAGGGGUUCACCUCCGACAGUGCCGUGUAAAGCAACAAGAGAUCUCCGGGGACCCAGAGCUGAAGUCCCCAUCAUCAGCCCUCCCUGGCUGUGUGACCUCGGCUGAGUCCCCUAACCUCUCUGGACCGGGCAUUUCCUCAGCGGCAAAGUAAAGAGCAUGUCACCUGCCCAGAAACUCUCAAGGCCAGCACAAAAAUACACCAAAGGCCAAUACACUCUCAAGG